UGAGUACGAGCUGCUACGGCAGCGAAGUGGGUGAUGUCAAGCUUCCAAGAAAAGCCCUGUACCCGUUAAGGCAUGAUGGCCUGUACCCGAAACCGACACAGGUAGGGUGGUAGAGAAUACCGAGGGGCGCGAGAUAACUCUCUCUAAGGAACUCGGCAAAAUGGCCCCGUAACUUCGGGAGAAGGGGUGCCACCGCAAGGUGGUCGCAGUGAAGAGGCCCAGGCGACUGUUUACCAAAAACACAGGUCUCCGCUAAGUCGCAAGACGAUGUAUGGGGGCUGACGCCUGCCCAGUGCCGGAAGGUUAAGGAAGCUGGUCAGCGUAAGCGAAGCUAGCGACUGAAGCCCCGGUGAACGGCGGCCGUAACAAUAACGGUCCUAAGGUAGCGAAAUUCCUUGUCGGGUAAGUUCCGACUCGCACGAAAGGCGUAACGAUCUGGGCGCUGUCUCGGAGAGAGGCUCGGCGAAAUAGAAUUGUCUGUGAAGAUGCGGACUACGUGCACCCGGACAGAAAGACCCUAUGAAGCUUUACUGUAGCUUGGUAUUGUGCUCGGGCUCGGAAUGCGCAGGAUAGGUGGGAGGCUAUGAACCAUUGCUUGUGGGUGAUGGUGAGCCACUGGUGAGAUACCACUCUUUCCGAGCUAGAGUUCUAACAGCCACCCGUUAUCCGGGGGCUGGACAGUAUCAGGUGGGCAGUUUGACUGGGGCGGUCGCCUCCUAAAAGGUAACGGAGGCGCGCAAAGGUUUGCUCAGGCUGGUUGGAAAUCAGCCGACGAGUGUAAAAGCAGAAGCAAGCUUGACUGUGAGACCUACAAGUCGAACAGGGAGGAAACUCGGCUUUAGUGAUCCGACGGUUCUGCGUGGAAGGGCCGUCGCUCAACGGAUAAAAGUUACUCUAAGGAUAACAGGCUGAUCUCCCCCAAGAGUUCACAUCGACGGGGAGGUUUGGCACCUCGAUGUCGGCUCAUCGCAACCUGGGGCUGAAGUCGGUCCCAAGGGUUGGGCUGUUCGCCCAUUAAAGCGGUACGCGAGCUGGGUUCAGAACGUCGUGAGACAGUUCGGUCCAUAUCCGGUGCAUGCGCAGGAAUAUUGAGAGGAUUUCUCCCUAGUACGAGAGGACCGGGAGGAACGCACCUCUGGUGUGCCAGUUAUCGUGCCAACGGUAAACGCUGGGUAGCCAUGUGCGGAGUGGAUAACCGCUGAAAGCAUCUAAGUGGGAAGCCCACCUCAAGAUGAGUAUUCCCAUGGGGUAACCCAGUAAGGUCACGGGAAGAACACCCGUUGAUAGGCUCUACGUGGAAGCGCAGUAAUGUGUGAAGCGGAGGAGUACUAAUAGACCGAGGGCUUGACC
rnacentral:rRNA from 1 species